rnacentral:rRNA from 1 species
GAUGAACGCUAGCGGGAGGCCUAACACAUGCAAGCCGAGCGGUAGAAGAUCUUCGGAUCUUUGAGAGCGGCGUACGGGUGCGGAACACGUGUGCAACCUGCCUUUAUCAGGGGGAUAGCCUUUCGAAAGGAAGAUUAAUACCCCAUAAUAUAAUGAGUGGCAUCACUUAUUAUUGAAAACUCCGGUGGAUAGAGAUGGGC